rnacentral:rRNA from 1 species
UACGUAGGUGGCAAGCGUUGUCCGGAUUUACUGGGCGUAAAGAGCGCGCAGGCGGUCGUCCAAGUCGCGUGUGAAAGCCCCCGGCUCAACUGGGGAGGGUCACGCGAUACUGGUCGACUCGAAGGCAGGAGAGGGUAGUGGAAUUCCCGGUGUAGCGGUGAAAUGCGUAGAGAUCGGGAGGAACACCAGCGGCGAAGGCGGCGACCUGGACAAGGAUUGACACUCAACUACGAAAGCGUGGGGAGCAAACAGG